rnacentral:rRNA from 1 species
CACGAACGCUGGCGGCAUGCCUAACACAUGCAAGUCGAACGAGACCUUCGGGUCUAGUGGCGCACGGGUGCGUAACGCGUGGGAACCUGCCCUUAGGUUCGGAAUAACUCCCCGAAAGGGGUGCUAAUACCGGAUAAUGUCUUCGGACCAAAGAUUUAUCGCCUUUGGAUGGGCCCGCGUUGGAUUAGCUAGUUGGUAGGGUAAAAGCCUACCAAGGCGACGAUCCAUAGCUGGUCUGAGAGGAUGAUCAGCCACACUGGGACUGAGACACGGCCCAGACUCCUACGGGAGGCAGCAGUGGGGAAUAUUGGACAAUGGGCGAAAGCCUGAUCCAGCAAUGCCGCGUGAGUGAUGAAGGCCUUAGGGUUGUAAAGCUCUUUUACCCGGGAUGAUAAUGACAGUACCGGGAGAAUAAGCGCCGGCUAACUCCGUG